GACGAACGCUGGCGGCGUGCUUAAUACAUGCAAGUCAACUGAACUUAGGGUAGUAAUAUUUUAAGGGAGGUGGCGCACGGGUGAGUAACACGUAGGUAAUUUGCCUUUAGGUCAGACAUAAUUUCGCGAAAGCGGGACUAAAAUCAGAUGAUGCAGCGGCUUGACAUCGAGACAGUUGUUAAACCUUCGGGGCCUAAAGAUGAGCCUGCGUUUGAUUAGGUAGUUGGCGGAGUAAAAGCCCCCCCAGCCUGCGAUCAGUAGCUGGUUUGAGAGGAUGAUCAGCCCCCCUGGAACUGAGACACGGUCAAGACUCCUACGGGAGGCAGCAGUAAGGAAUAUUGCUCAAUGGCCGAAAGGCUGAAGCAGCAACGCCGCGUGGAGGAUGAAAUACUUUUGUAUGUAAACUCCUGUAAGAGGGGAAAAAUAUGCAGUUAAUACUGUAUUGAUUGUACCCUCAGAGUAAGCACCGGCUAACUACGUG
rnacentral:rRNA from 1 species